rnacentral:rRNA from 1 species
GAGUUUGAUCCUGGCUCAGAACGAACGCUAGCGGUGUGGAUUAGGCAUGCAAGUCGUGCGCGAAAGUCUUCGGACGAGUAAAGCGGCGAAAGGGUGAGUAACACGUAACCAACGUACCCCUCAGAUCGGAAUAACCUCCGGAAACGGUGGAUAAUGCCGAAUGGUCCGCCGGCAGGCAUCUGCUGGACGGUAAACGGUGGCUUCGGCUGCUGCUGGGGGAGCGGGUUGCGGCCUAUCAGCUUGUUGGUGGGGUAACGGCCUACCAAGGCGAUGACGGGUAGCGGGUCUGAGAGGAUGAUCCGUCACACUGGGACUGAGACACUGCCCAGACUCCUACGGGAGGCUGCAGUCGAGAAUCUUCCACAAUGGACGAAAGUCUGAUGGAGCGACACCGCGUGCAGGAUGAAGGCCCUAGGGUUGUAAACUGCUGUCACGCUAUAGGAACCCACGGUGGUGAAUAGUCACCGUGCUGACUAAAGCGAGAGGAAGCGCCGGCUAACUCCGUGCCAGCAGCCGCGGUAAUACGGAGGGCGCAAGCGUUGUUCGGAUUCACUGGGCAUAAAGAGCACGUAGGCGGUCUGCUCAGUCGGGUGUGAAAGCCCACGGCCUAACCGUGGAACUGCACCCGAUACUGGUAGACUCGAGGACGGAAGGGGUGAGUGGAACUCCAGGUGGAACGGUGAAAUGUAUAGAUAUCUGGAGGAACACCGGUGGCGAAAGCGGCUCACUGGUCCGUCUCUGACGCUGA